rnacentral:rRNA from 1 species
UGCAAGUCGAGCGGGGAGAUGUAGCUUGCUACAUUUUCUAGCGGCGGACGGGUGAGUAAUGCUUAGGAAUCUGCCUAUUAGUGGGGGACAACGUUUCGAAAGGAACGCUAAUACCGCAUACGCCCUACGGGGGAAAGCAGGGGCUCUUCGGACCUUGCGCUAAUAGAUGAGCCUAAGUCAGAUUAGCUAGUUGGUGGGGUAAAGGCCUACCAAGGCGACGAUCUGUAGCGGGUCUGAGAGGAUGAUCCGCCACACUGGGACUGAGACACGGCCCAGACUCCUACGGGAGGCAGCAGUGGGGAAUAUUGGACAAUGGGGGGAACCCUGAUCCAGCCAUGCCGCGUGUGUGAAGAAGGCCUUUUGGUUGUAAAGCACUUUAAGCGAGGAGGAGGCUCCUAUAGAUAAUACCUAUAGUGAGUGGACGUUACUCGCAGAAUAAGCACCGGCUAACUCUGUGCCAGCAGCCGCGGUAAUACAGAGGGUGCGAGCGUUAAUCGGAUUUACUGGGCGUAAAGCGUACGUAGGCGGCUUUUUAAGUCGGAUGUGAAAUCCCUGAGCUUAACUUAGGAAUUGCAUUCGAUACUGGGAAGCUAGAGUAUGGGAGAGGAUGGUAGAAUUCCAGGUGUAGCGGUGAAAUGCGUAGAGAUCUGGAGGAAUACCGAUGGCGAAGGCAGCCAUCUGGCCUAAUACUGACGCUGAGGUACGAAAGCAUGGGGAGCAAACAGGAUUAGAUACCCUGGUAGUCCAUGCCGUAAACGAU